GUGCUUAACACAUGCAAGUCGAACGGAAAGUUCUUUUCGGAGAUACUCGAGUGGCGAACGGGUGAGUAACACGUGGGUGAUCUGCCCUGCACUUCGGGAUAAGCCUGGGAAACUGGGUCUAAUACCGGAUAGGACCAUGAGAUUCAUGUCUUGUGGUGGAAAGCUUUUGCGGUGUGGGAUGAGCCCGCGGCCUAUCAGCUUGUUGGUGGGGUGACGGCCUACCAAGGCGACGACGGGUAGCCGGCCUGAGAGGGUGUCCGGCCACACUGGGACUGAGAUACGGCCCAGACUCCUACGGGAGGCAGCAGUGGGGAAUAUUGCACAAUGGGCGCAAGCCUGAUGCAGCGACGCCGCGUGGGGGAUGACGGCCUUCGGGUUGUAAACCUCUUUCACCAUCGACGAAGGUCCGGGUUUUCUCGGAUUGACGGUAGAUGGAGAAGAAGCACCGGCCAACUACGUGCCAGCAGCCGCGGUAAUACGUAGGGUGCGAGCGUUGUCCGGAAUUACUGGGCGUAAAGAGCUCGUAGGUGGUUUGUCGCGUUGUUCGUGAAAUC
rnacentral:rRNA from 1 species